GCCGAAGUGGUGAAACUGGUAGACACGCUAUCUUGAGGGGGUAGUGGCGCAAGCUGUGUGGGUUCGAGUCCCACCUUCGGCACCA
rnacentral:tRNA from 1 species